rnacentral:tRNA from 1 species
GCCAACUUAGCUCAAUCUGGUAGAGAACUGAAUCGUAAUCAGUAGGUUGCGGGUUCAAUUCCUGCAGUUGGCA